rnacentral:rRNA from 1 species
UACGUAGGGGGCAAGCGUUGUCCGGAAUCAUUGGGCGUAAAGAGCUCGUAGGCGGCUCAGUAAGUCGGGUGUGAAACCCCCAGGCUCAACCUGGGGACGCCACCCGAUACUGCUGUGGCUAGAGUCCAGUAGGGGAGUGUGGAAUUCCCGGUGUAGCGGUGAAAUGCGCAGAUAUCAGGAGGAACACCGGUGGCGAAGGCGGGUCUCUGGGCCGACAUUGACGCUGAGGAGCGAAAGCGUGGGGAGCGAACAGG